GACCCGUAAUCCGGGUUGCGGACAGUGUCUGGUGGGUAGUUUGACUGGGGCGGUCUCCUCCCAAAGCGUAACGGAGGAGCACGAAGGUUAGCUAAUCCUGGUCGGACAUCAGGAGGUUAGUGCAAAGGCAUAAGCUAGCUUGACUGCGAGAGUGACAGCUCGAGCAGGUGCGAAAGCAGGUCUUAGUGAUCCGGUGGUUCUGAAUGGAAGGGCCAUCGCUCAACGGAUAAAAGGUACUCCGGGGAUAACAGGCUGAUACCGCCCAAGAGUUCAUAUCGACGGCGGUGUUUGGCACCUCGAUGUCGGCUCAUCACAUCCUGGGGCUGAAGUAGGUCCCAAGGGUAUGGCUGUUCGCCAUUUAAAGUGGUACGCGAGCUGGGUUUAGAACGUCGUGAGACAGUUCGGUCCCUAUCUGCCGUGGGCGUUGGAAGAUUGAGAGGGGUUGCUCCUAGUACGAGAGGACCGGAGUGAACGCACCACUGGUGUACGGGUUGUGAUGCCAAUUGCAUUGCCCGGUAGCUAAGUGCGGAAGAGAUAACCGCUGAAAGCAUCUAAGCGGGAAACUUGCCUCGAGAUGAGUCUUCCCUGGACACUAGAUGUCCCUGAAGGGCCGUUGAAGACGACGACGUAGAUAGGCUGGGUGUGUAAGCGUAGCGAUACGUUGAGCUAACCAGUACUAAUGACCCGAGAGGCUUAACCUUACAACACCGAAGGUGUUU
rnacentral:rRNA from 1 species